rnacentral:lncRNA from 1 species
AUGAAAGGAGAGUCAGAGAGUCCUAGGGUGAGGAUCCUAUCUGCUGUUCCAGACUUUGGAGACAAAAAGAAGUCAGAGCUGAGGACUGUGGAGACUAUAGAACCUGGAAAUGGAACAGAGUAUUGUUUGGAUUUAUUCCACCACUACUGAAACUCAUCUGAAGAUUUCCUGAGAAGCCUUGGGUGAGCUGUAUUUGGGGACUGGAGUCUG